AUGUGAAAAACAUUAUCGCCUUAAGUUCAAGGUUUCCAAAACAAGGUUAAUCCGUUUUGGUAUUUGUUAAUCGGUCUCUAAGAAUUAAUUACGAAAGUCUAAUUUAAUGAGAUAAAAAUUAAUUUUUUUUUUAAAAGUGACAGAAUAUGAAUAUUAUUUUUAUUUUAUGGUUUAAAUAAAAGUUUUAAAUUAUUCUCUAGAAAUAGCUUUUAAAAACUUUAAAAACCGUACCCUAAACCGACGCAGGUGAACAAGUUUAGUAAACUAAGGCGCUUGAGAGAACUUUGUUGAAGGAACUCGGCAAAAUGGCCCUGUAACUUCGGGAGAAGGGGUAAUUUUUUUAGGGCAACCUAGAAAAAUUGGCACAGAAUUGGAGGUAGCGACUAUUUAGUAAAAAUACAAGUCUCUGCUAAUUUGUAAAAAGAUGUAUAGGGACUGACACCUGCCCGGUGCUGUAAGAUAAAAAAAUUAUUGUCUUGGCUUUAAUUUUAAAUCCCAGUAAACGGCGGCCGUAACUCUGA
rnacentral:rRNA from 1 species